rnacentral:rRNA from 1 species
GUGGGGAAUAUUGGACAAUGGGCGAAAGCCUGAUCCAGCCAUGCCGCGUGUGUGAAGAAGGUCUUCGGAUUGUAAAGCACUUUAAGUUGGGAGGAAGGGCAGUAAGUUAAUACCUUGCUGUUUUGACGUUACCGACAGAAUAAGCACCGGCUAACUUCGUGCCAGCAGCCGCGGUAAUACGAAGGGUGCAAGCGUUAAUCGGAAUUACUGGGCGUAAAGCGCGCGUAGGUGGUUUUGUAAGUUGGAGGUGAAAUCCCCGGGCUCAACCUGGGAACUGCCUCCAAAAAUGCAUGACUAGAGUACGGUAGAGGGUAGUGGAAUUUCCUGUGUAGCGAUGAAAUGCGUAGAUAUAGGAAGGAACACCAGUGGCGAAGGCGACUACCUGGACUGAUACUGACACUGAGGUGCGAAAGCGUGGGGAGCAAACAGGAUUAGAAACCCGGGUAGUCC